GACGAACGCUGGCGGCGUGCUUAACACAUGCAAGUCGAGCGGAAAGGCCCUUCGGGGUACUCGAGCGGCGAACGGGUGAGUAACACGUGAGUAACCUGCCCCAGACUUUGGGAUAACCCUCGGAAACGGGGGCUAAUACCGGAUACGACACAGCUUCGCAUGGGGUCUGUGUGGAAAGUUUUUCGGUUUGGGAUGGGCUCGCGGCCUAUCAGCUUGUUGGUGGGGUGAUGGCCUACCAAGGCGACGACGGGUAGCCGGCCUGAGAGGGCGACCGGCCACACUGGGACUGAGACACGGCCCAGACUCCUACGGGAGGCAGCAGUGGGGAAUGUUGCACAAUGGGCGGAAGCCUGAUGCAGCGACGCCGCGUGAGGGAUGACGGCCUUCGGGUUGUAAACCUCUUUCAGCAGGGACGAAGCGUAAGUGACGGUACCUGCAGAAGAAGCGCCGGCCAACUGCGUG
rnacentral:rRNA from 1 species